AGAAAUUUCAUAUAAAUAUAUCUCAUGCCCACACAACCAUAUGGCUAAAACAUACAUGUGAUUACGAAAAAAUUACGCAACGCCCUUGGAGAAUACUCAUGUUGUAGACUCCGACUUGUGGUAGUGCAUUUGACUUGUGGCGAUAUCUUGAGUUUGGAGUAGGACACUUGAUUUGUAAUACACUUCUUUCCUGCAAGCAUAAGUAUUUGAUGGAGCCCCACACUUUCCUACAAACUUUACUAACUUAACUACAAAGACUUCUAUAUAUAACAUAAUAGAUAAUACUAUAAGUAAAAGGACUGGACAUCAAUAUUGGAUCAUGCCAUAAGCUUGAGAAUUUGGUAUGAACGAAGUUUCCUUUUAUGGACAACUCAAGUUUUGGGAUUUCACCUUGAGGGAUAGGUAGGCUUUAUAACAAAUAAACUAAAAAAAGUUAGAAAUGUCAAUAUGACUUAACCUGUUAUUAUACAGGCUUUCUUGUUCAACAUCUAUGUUGUUUAGUCUGGUUUUAAUUAUAAAUUCAAAUGUUUUUAAUUUAAGUUGUGUUUCGUUGUAAUUUUUGUAGUUUUAAUGAUUUUAUUGCUACUAUUAUCACAUUUUAGUAAUUUGUGUUCCAUACUACAACUAAAUAUUAAAGUCUUGACGAAAAUUUUAUGUAUUAAAUAAUUU
rnacentral:lncRNA from 1 species